rnacentral:rRNA from 1 species
UACAGAGGCCUCAAGCGUUGUUCGGAUUCAUUGGGCGUAAAGGGUGCGUAGGUGGCUUGGUAAGUUGAAGGUGAAAUCUCGGGGCUUAACUCCGAAACUGCCUUCAAUACUGCUGAGCUCGAGGAUUGUAGAGGAGAAUGGAAUUCACGGUGUAGCAGUGAAAUGCGUAGAUAUCGUGAGGAAGACCAGUGGCGAAGGCGAUUCUCUGGGCAAUUCCUGACACUGAGGCACGAAGGCUAGGGGAGCAAACGGG